rnacentral:rRNA from 1 species
AUUGAACGCUGGCGGCAUGCCUUACACAUGCAAGUCGUACGGCAGCACGGGUGCUUGCACCUGGUGGCGAGUGGCGAACGGGUGAGUAAUACAUCGGAACGUACCUUAUCGUGGGGGAUAACGCAGCGAAAGCUGUGCUAAUACCGCAUACGCCCUGAGGGGGAAAGCGGGGGAUCGCAAGACCUCGCGCGAUUAGAGCGGCCGAUGCCGGAUUAGCUAGUUGGUGGGGUAAAAGCCCACCAAGGCGACGACCAGUAGCUGGUCUGAGAGGACGAUCAGCCACACUGGGACUGAGACACGGCCCAGACUACUACGGGAGGCAGCAGUGGGGAAUUUUGGACAAUGGGGGCAACCCUGAUCCAGCAAUGCCGCGUGGGUGAAGGAGGCCUUCGGGUUGUAAAGCUCUUUUGUCAGGGAAGAAACACCGGCUCUAACACAGUCCGGGAAUGACGGUACCUGAAGAAUAAGCACCGGCUAACUACGUGCCAGCAGCCGCCGUAA